AUUGAACGCUGGCGGCAGGCCUAACACAUGCAAGUCGAGCGGAUGAAGGGAGCUUGCUCCUGGAUUCAGCGGCGGACGGGUGAGUAAUGCCUAGGAAUCUGCCUGGUAGUGGGGGAUAACGUCCGGAAACGGGCGCUAAUACCGCAUACGUCCUGAGGGAGAAAGUGGGGGAUCUUCGGACCUCACGCUAUCAGAUGAGCCUAGGUCGGAUUAGCUAGUUGGUGGGGUAAAGGCCUACCAAGGCGACGAUCCGUAACAGGUCUGAGAGGAUGAUCAGUCACACUGGAACUGAGACACGGUCCAGACUCCUACGGGAGGCAGCAGUGGGGAAUAUUGGACAAUGGGCGAAAGCCUGAUCCAGCCAUGCCGCGUGUGUGAAGAAGGUCUACGGAUUGUAAAGCACUUUAAGUUGGGAGGAAGGGCAGUAAGUUAAUACCUUGCUGUUUUGACGUUACCAACAGAAUAAGCACCGGCUAACUUCGUG
rnacentral:rRNA from 1 species